CGGCAGCCGCUACAGCCAGAGAGGCAGUCUCCUCCCUCCUCCCCUCCCUCCCUCCUCCCUCCCUCCUUCCCUCUCCGCCGCCUCCCUCCUCCCGUUCUCCUUCCCCCCUCCCCCCGCCGAACCCCGGCGCAAGGGGGGAAUUAGAAACUGCUCUAGAAGGAUUUUAAACAACUGGCUGUUCUCUCCGCCGCCAUCCCGCCCCCCGCGCCGCCCGCGCUCGGCUCCUCACUGGAGAGAAGGCGCCGGGAGGAGGGGAAAGUGCGGCCUGGAGUUUCUGGCCGGAGCCGGCGGAGCUGCAGCCUUGGCGGCCCCAGACUUCGGGGCGCCGGCCGAGUACACCGGCAGACCCGCGGCCCCAGCCGCCCUUGGGGCCCCCCGCCAGCCUCUCUCCCGCUCCUCUCCUGUUGAUGACCGGGCGCCCGUCCCCAGCAUUGAUCUCGGCCGCCCCCAACCUCCUCCCCGGGGUGUCGCCCCCGCCCCGCUCCCCGAGGGCCGGCUGGCGAGGGCUGCACGCGCUGUUCCCUCGACCUUCGGGCGGAGCGACCCGGAGCAACUCGCUUACCCUCCUGGGGAGUGACUGCGCCCGGGGUCGCUGGCGCCGCUGGAGUGGCGUCGCCUGGCUCCUGGGACCGCGCCCUGCGCCCCAAGGGAGCACCCGGCCUCGGGCCUGCCUCCUCUCCUGAGAGGUCUCAGUAUCUGAAGACACACCCUAGUAGAAAACUACAAAGAAGUUGGGAGGUGGGGAAGAACUGUAUGCUGUGAGUUUUAGUCUCUGCUACUAAUUUGUGACAUUAAUGUCUUUGUCGGUAAAAAAAAAAAAAAAAAAAAAAAAAAAAAAAAAAAAAAAAAAAAAAAAAAAAAAAAAGAAGAAG